UACGUAGGGUGCAAGCGUUAAUCGGAAUUACUGGGCGUAAAGCGUGCGCAGGCGGUUAUGUAAGACAGGUGUGAAAUCCCCGGGCUUAACCUGGGAACUGCAUUUGUGACUGCAUAGCUAGAGUACGGUAGAGGGGGAUGGAAUUCCGCGUGUAGCAGUGAAAUGCGUAGAUAUGCGGAGGAACACCGAUGGCGAAGGCAAUCCCCUGGGCCUGAACUGACGCUCAUGCACGAAAGCGUGGGGAGCAAACAGG
rnacentral:rRNA from 1 species